GAAAAUUCAAAAGAGAAAAACCCUUCGAAAAGCCACAAAACCAAUAUCUCUCUCGUAUUCUGCUUUUCCCCUUCUCUCUCCCAUUCUCAAUCUCAGAAACCCAAAAUGUUGUAAAACCUAACCUCUUUCAUUUCUGUAACAUUCUCGUCUCCCAUUUUCGUAACCUUUUCCCCAAAUUACUUGAUCCAGAAACCCUAAUUUCUGAAACGAAGAUCAGAUACGGGGAAAAUUGGUAAUCAGAAUCAAUGGUGGGUGCAUCGAGCUCAUGGUCUCGCGUAUUGGUUCAGAUCUCACCCUCCACUUUCUCCGUCAUCGGUAUCGCCAUCGGCAUCGGCGUUUCCGUCUUGGGGAAUUUAUAUAACUGGAAGUAUUUUAAUUGGUGCCAUCAAAGCUCCUCGGAUUACUUCAAAAAAUCUGAUUAGAUGAGUACUUCAACUUUCUUUCUUUCUUUUUUUCUCGCUGGUUUUAUGGAUCAUUGAUGUGGUAUUACAUUGACUGGCUUAUUAAUGAGAGGUAACUGACAACUUCCAUGUGUAAAAAAAAUUGAAUUAUGCCACCACUUGCUAGAUUGUCCGGGCAUAGGUUACAUGGUCGUAGGAUAAGCUGAUACGCCUAUUUACCAUCAAUAUCAAUGAGUGUCAAUUCUGAAAUCUUACUGAACAUACAUUUGGACAAAUCAAUAUCAAUAUUGCGGCCAAUAUUUCAGUAUGGUUCAUGUUGAUAUUCUAUAAUAUUAUUGGUAUUCCUCAUUUACUUUGAUGAACUGAAGAUUUUUGUGCUCAUUUCCUAUGCAAUACUUGCUUGUUUUGAGCUUAAUUUGAAGACUCAUUCAAGAUUGCUGCUAAAUUCACAAAGUAUCGGCACGUUGUUGGUGACUUGGAGGCAUGAAGGGGCAAUUUAGGAACAUAAAAAGGAGUCAGCAGAGAGUGCAUAAAAAUGAUAAUAUUUUCCACUUUGACGGUGAAAUUUCCUAUUCCAGCUCAUUGGGGUUUAAAUCCCAUAUUAUUUUCAAAUAGUUAUAUUAAUACAUGCAUAAUGCUUGUAUUGUUAGUCAUUUUCCUACUAUAGUGGCUAUUUUUCAUUGCAUUUUUUAAUAAAGAUACUAGUUUUAGAUUUUUAUUCACAUGAUUUCUCAUUUGCCUAGCCUCAUUGCUUAUAUUGGAUUUUCAGAAGUUCUAUGCAAGUAACUAAACAAUUGUGUCAAGUAGUUGUGGGAGAAAGAGAUGGAGAAAUCCAAAAAAGAGAAUGGAUAUAAAGGAAGUAAUAGGGGAAAAUAAGCUAAUCAUGUGAGUGAAGUAGAGCUUGGAAGGGCUACUUGGACUUUUCUCCAUACUCUUGCAGCUCAGCCUUAAUAAACCAAUAUUUCCUUGUAAGAGAGUUGAUGCAAGGUGGGGCAAGCUGAAAUGCGAGCUGCGUGCAUGUUAUCUACAAGGAACUCCAGAUUUUGGUGAAGGAUGACAUUAACAUAAUUACCAUAAACCAUCAACUGAUGUUAUUGUUUGAUUUUCAGUGUUACUAUUGCAAAUAAUAAGAGUCAUAUGAAAUUAAUUAAUAUAGGAAAUCAUUUGAAUGUCU